GACGGGGGGAUGCAAGUGUUAUCCGGAAUAAUUGGGCGUAAAGCGUCUGUAGGUGGUUUACCAAGUCUGUUGUUAAAAAUCAGGGCUUAACCCUGAUCCGGCAACAGAAACUAGUAGGCUGGAGUACGGUAGGGGCAGAGGGAAUUCUCGGUGUAGUGGUGAAAUACGUAGAUAUCGAGAAGAACACCAAUAGCGAAAGCACUCUGCUGGGCCGAAACUGACAUUGAGAGACGAAAGCUAGGGGAGCGAAAGGGG
rnacentral:rRNA from 1 species